rnacentral:rRNA from 1 species
GAUAAACGCUGGCGGCGUGCCUAACACAUGCAAGUCGAACGAUCCCGCAAGGGAGAGUGGCGGAAGGGUGAGUAACACGUGGGAAUCUACCUCCUCGCAGGGAACAACCUCUCGAAAGAGAGGCUAAUACCCAAAAGGGUCAGAAAUGAUCAGAGUCGAAAGGCGUGAGGAGAGGAGCCCGCGGCCCAUCAGCUAGUUGGUGAGGUAAUGGCUUACCAAGGCUACGACGGGUAGGGGAUCUGAGAGGAUGUCCCCCACACUGGAACUGAAACACGGUCCAGACGCCUACGGGUGGCAGCAGUGAGGAAUAUUGGACAAUGGGCGAAAGCCCGAUCCAGCAACGCCGCGUGGAGGAUGAAGGCCUUCGGGUCGUAAACUUCUUUAGAGGGAGACGAGAAAGGACGGUAUCCCUAGAAUAAGCGACGGCAAACUACGUAGCCAGCAGCCGCGGU